rnacentral:rRNA from 1 species
GAUGAACGCUAGCGGGAGGCUUAACACAUGCAAGUCGAGGGGUAAAUGGUAGCAAUACUAUGAGACCGGCGAACGGGUGCGUAACGCGUAUGCAACUUACCUUAUGCAGGGGGAUAGCCCGUGGAAACGCGGAUUAAUAUCCCAUAGAUCAGUAAUAUCGCAUGGUAUAACUGGUAAAACUCAGGUGGCAUAAGAUGGGCAUGCGUCUGAUUAGCUAGUUGGUAGGGUAACGGCCUACCAAGGCGACGAUCAGUAGGGGUUCUGAGAGGAUUAACCCCCACACUGGUACUGAGACACGGACCAGACUCCUACGGGAGGCAGCAGUGAGGAAUAUUGGUCAAUGGGCGCAAGCCUGAACCAGCCAUCCCGCGUGAAGGAAGAAGGCCCUACGGGUUGUAAACUUCUUUUCUGUUUGAAGAAUAAGCUCGUCGAGACGAGUGAUGCCGGUAGGACAGGAAUAAGCAUCGGCUAACUCCGUGCCAGCAGCCGCGGUAAA